rnacentral:rRNA from 1 species
AUGCAAGUCGAGCGGAAACGAUCCUAGCUUGCUAGGAGGCGUCGAGCGGCGGACGGGUGAGUAACACGUGAGAAUCUGCCCAUUAGAGGGGGAUAACCUGGGGAAACCCAGGCUAAUACCGCAUAAUCCCUACGGGGGAAAGCAGGGGAUCUUCGGACCAAACGGGGCUUCGGCUCCGGCGCAAAGAGAGGCCCAAGUGAGAUUAGCUAGUUGGUAAGGUAACGGCUUACCAAGGCGACGAUCUCUAGCUGUUCUGAGAGGAAGAUCAGCCACACUGGGACUGAGACACGGCCCAGACUCCUACGGGAGGCAGCAGUGGGGAAUAUUGCACAAUGGGGGAAACCCUGAUGCAGCCAUGCCGCGUGUGUGAAGAAGGCCUCCGGGUUGUAAAGCACUUUCAGUUGUGAGGUAAAGUUAGUAGUUAAUACCUGCUAGCCGUGACGUUAACAACAGAAGAAGCACCGGCUAACUCCGUGCCAGCAGCCGCGGUAAUACGGAGGGUGCGAGCGUUAAUCGGAAUUACUGGGCGUAAAGCGCACGCAGGCGGUUUGUUAAGCUAGAUGUGAAAGCCCCGGGCUCAACCUGGGAUGGUCAUUUGGAACUGGCAGACUAGAGUCUUGGAGAGGGGAGUGGAAUUCCAGGUGUAGCGGUGAAAUGCGUAGAUAUCUGGAGGAACAUCAGUGGCGAAGGCGACUCCCUGGCCAAAGACUGACGCUCAUGUGCGAAAGUGUGGGUAGCAAACAGGAUUAGAUACCCUGGUAGUCCACACCGUAAACGCUGUCUACUAGCUGUGUGUGCCUUUAAGGCGUGCGUAGCGAAGCUAACGCGCUAAGUAGACCGCCUGGGGAGUACGGCCGCAAGGUUAAAACUCAAAUGAAUUGACGGGGGCCCGCACAAGCGGUGAGCAUGUGUUUAAUUCGAUGCAACGCGAAGAACCUUACCUACACUUGACAUGCUGAAAAGUUACUAGAGAUAGUUUCGUGCCUUCGGGAACUCAGACACAGGUGCUGCAUGCUGUCGUCAGCUCGUGUCGUGGAUGUGGGUAGUCCGCACGAGCGCAACCCUGUCUAGUGCAGCAUAGUGGGCACUCUAGAACUGCGGUGAAAACGAGAGUGGACGACGUCAGUCAUCAUGCCCUUACGUGUAGGCUACCACGGCUAAUGCAUUACAAGGGGAGCGGAACAUGGAGUGGAGGAACCUAAAAAGUGCGGAUCCCCGAAUGGAUGGAACUGACAUCAGUGA